rnacentral:rRNA from 1 species
GAUGAACGCUAGCUACAGGCUUAACACAUGCAAGUCGCGGGGCAGCAUGGGGGUUGCUUGCAAUCCCCGAUGGCGACCGGCGCACGGGUGAGUAACGCGUAUUCAACCUGCCCUUCACCACGGGAUAACCCGGCGAAAGUCGGACUAAUACCGUAUGUUGUCCAUUGACGGCAUCCGAUUUGGACGAAAGGCUUGGCGGUGAGGGAUGGGGAUGCGUCCGAUUAGCCAGACGGCGGGGUAACGGCCCACCGUGGCUACGAUCGGUAGGGGUUCUGAGAGGAAGGUCCCCCACACUGGAACUGAGACACGGUCCAGACUCCUACGGGAGGCAGCAGUGAGGAAUAGUGGUCAAUGGGCGUAAGCCUGAACCAGCCAAGUAGCGUGCAGGAUGACGGCCCUAUGGGUUGUAAACUGCUUUUAUGCGGGGAUAAAGUGGCCCACGGGUGGGCUUUUGCAGGUACCGCAUGAAUAAGGACCGGCUAAUUCCGUG